rnacentral:rRNA from 1 species
CAAUCAGUCAAGAAUACCCGCUGAAUUUAAGCAUAUAACUAGGCGGAGGAAAAGAAACUAACAAGGAUUUCCCUAGUAACGGCGAGUGAAGCGGAAAAAGCUCAGACUGAAAAUCUUCGGAAUUGUAGUCUGGAGAAGGUAUUACAGCAAAUGUACCGAGUAAAGUCUCCUGGAACGGAGCGCCACUGAGGGUGACAGCCCCGUUUAUACUCGUGUCAUGAGCGUACGUAUGCCUUUCUACGAGUCGAGUUGUUUGGGAUUGCAGCUCUAAGUGGGUGGUAAAUUCCAUCUAAAGCUAAAUAUAUGUGGGAAGAG